rnacentral:rRNA from 1 species
GACGAACGCUGGCGGCGUGCUUAACACAUGCAAGUCGAACGGUGAAGGGGUCUGCUUUUGUGGGCCCUGGGUGAGUGGCGAACGGGUGAGUAACACGUCAGUAACCUGCCCCCUUCUUCUGGAUAACCGCAUGAAAGUGUGGCUAAUACGGGAUAUUCUGGGUCUGUCGCAUGAUGGGUCUGGGAAAGAUUGCGCCUUUGGGUGUUUGUGGUGGGGGAUGGGUUCGCGGCAUAUCAGCUUGGUGGUGGGGUGGUGGCCUACCAAGGCGGCGACAGGUAGCUGACAGGAGAGGGUGGCCGGUUACACUGGGAAUGAGGCCCAGCCCAGACUGCUAGGCGGGGCAGCAGUGGGGUAUAUUGCGCGAGGAGCGCAAGCCUAGUGCAGCGACGCCGCGUGAGAGAGGCAGGCGUUCGGGUUGUACACCUAUUUCGGAAGUGGAGCAGGCCUGCAACUUGUGGGUGGGUUGACGGUAGCUGGAGAAGAAGCGCCGGCUAACUACGUG